GCCCACCAUGGCGAAGAAGACACAGAAGACCUGGCCUGCCUCGGUGCUGGGCGCCAGGUUCCCGUAACCUGUGAGGGAAAUCCUGCUCUCUUUGGAGGCCCCUCACGCUGUCUCCAUGAAGCCCUCCUGAUGUCUCCUUCCCCUCCUGCAGGGCCCUGUGCCAUCCCAGUCUAAUUAUCCACCUCCUGAGCCCCCUUUAUUGGACUGAGGCUGAGGCCCAAGCCUGGGGGUCUGCACCCCUCCCCUCACCAGGCCGCCUGGGGUGUGAGGAAGGACACCGAGAGGCAGUGCUGUGGUACAGCACUCAGCCAGGCCGCGCUGCAGACCUGGAGGCCACGCCCUCCCCCCAGCUGGGCUCUGCAGGUCCCCAGAGGUGACCCCCAAGGGUAUGCAGCCCACUGCUUCUGCGCCUGGCCUGUCUCCCCCGCCUGUUCCCCGAUGCACCCAUCCCAUCCCAUCCCAGCAUCUGUUCCCGGGAGCUCGACUAGGACGCAGCCUUUCACCUAUGGUGGUGAUGACCGUGCUCGAGAAGAAGAAGCUGCUGCCGAAGUCCCAGUUGCUGGGGUCCUCAGCUCCUGAGUCCCAGCUCUGUACCUGCCCAGCGCUCCUGGCUCCCAAGUCACCACACCCCAUCCUGGCUGCCCGCCUGCUCCUCCUCUCACCUGUACAAACUGCUCCAGGGCCCACCGGUCCAGGCACGUGUAGUUCUCCAGGAAGCGCAGCUUCUCCAUCUGAAACUGGUCCCUGGAUUCGGCCUCUGCCGGCUUCUCCAGCAGCUGGAAGAUGGUGGCCCCGAGCAGCAGGAGGGGCCAGGAGGAGCGACCUGCGGACUGGGACCUGAGGAAGAGCAGUGGGUGACAAAUCAGGUCACGGUAAAGA